GGAAUAGUCGCCAUGUGGUGGCAGCCGUGGGACUGACUAUUUUCGGGUAAAGACAAAUUUGGCGCGAUGCGCUACGAGGGAGCAAGCAAGCCUCGUGGUAGUCUCAAGUGUAAGCUUACAUGUGCCGGGGGGUGUCGGCCACGACACGGAGAGGCCAAUGGGAUCUGUGCGGCCAUUUUUAGAGGGCUCGUUGAAGCAACCGUGCUCAAAGCAUUGGCAGCAUUCAGUCUGAAGCAGUCAGUCGGUUCGGAGGAUUCGCUUAGAGACUUCAUCUUCUUCUUCUUCUUCUUCUUCUUCUUCACUUCUCUUUGAUCGUUGCAACUCGCGGCCCAGAGAAUCCUCGACCUCUUGAAGGACCACCAGCUCGAGGUCCAACAUGGAGGACCGGCCGAGAGCACCCUUGUCCGCGAACAAAUCGAAUAGCAAGUGCGAGAUGACCACGUUCGAUUCAUCCGAACGUCGUGGAUCUCGAUUCAGUGGAUUACGUAACCCGGAAGAGACGAAGAAAAGUGGUAGAAUCGUUCGUCGAGGAAGAGAUAAGAGGGAUCAUCAUCUUUCUGAACCGGGCGACUGUUCCGUGCUUCCUUACUUCCCAUAGUGAAUGUGACGUAUGGAAUGUAAAGAAGUAUGGAGCUGCGCCCAGGUGCCCCAAUGGAACUGGAACCACUGCGUGGGAUUCGUUCGACCAGCUGAUCAAACAAUUCACCUGAACACAUGUCUCCUCGGCGAGAUUUCAGGGAAAUCAUAGUUGGGGAAAGUAAGCGGUGAUUAGAAUGUUUCGGAAACAAUUUUCAUCGAGGCUGUUCGUGAAGAAUUCAGGAGAUCGAGAAUGUAACGAGAUGUUAUUGUAAUCGAGAGAUAUAUUGCAUUAACAUUGCCUGUUCCCUGGGUAGAGGCGGCCUACAGGUCAGAAAUAGAGCCAGUUCCACGUAUCCCGUAACGUGACUCUCGCAUCUCUCUACGUCCAUGUGGCCUCUCGUGUUCUCUAUUUACGGUUUCUCUGACUACCAUGUGGUCGCCAGCUUUAUUUAAAUCGGCAAAAUAUUUCAAGCUGUUCCCAGGGCCUGUUUUCUCUCUCCCGCCGAGCGAGCCAGCCACGAUUCACCAGCUAGAAAUUUUCUUCUUGCAGAUGCAACCCAGGAAAAAAGUGUGCUCUCUUUCACUGGUGUCGCGAUCAUUUUUCUUUUUACACUUGUGAUACGUGUCUCGGCGCUAAUCACCCCUGUGAUUAGUUCAGACGAUGGAAGGGGGUGAAAAAUUGUGAAAAGGAGAGGGAGAGGCAGAAAGGAAGGAGAUCCUCUGGUUGAACGUUGAAGUCAAAAAUAGGAUGAACGCAUGGUCACCAGUGUAUUUCCAUAAAUGAGUUCUCCGGUUACAGGGUCUAUUUCCGGGCCUGAGCCGGCGACCGGAGUUACAGCCAAUUACAAUCGACUCCAGGAUGGUACACGAUGCCUUGGGUAUUAGGGAUCUAGGGAUCGAUCGCUAUGUAACGAUGUAAUUGCGAGUAAAACGAGCUGAUUCAGAUGUAUUACGGCUGUUAAGGAAGAUCGUGGAGAUUGUGAUUACGUAGAAAUGUUUAGAGAGUGACGUCAAUGAGCAUCAGUGACGUAAUUUAAGUAUACUUCAAACAGUUUCGAACAGAUCAGAAGUAUGUAUAUCUAAAAAAAGAAGCUAUACUUGUGAAUAGACUUAGACGAGAAGGGUUUGUCUGGUACUUUGAGAAAUGUAAAAAAUAUAAUUGAAGUAUAAUUGGAGGCAGACCAAAUCUGGCCUCCCUAGAAAAAAUAGAGAUAUCUCAGAAUCUUAAUUUUGACAAUAUUAAUAUUAUAAACAAAAUCAAGUGUAGUAUUGUAUAUAACUGAAAAGUACCUACGAAUAACAAAGUUAAAAUAUUAAUUCAAAUCUUCCCGCGUAAACGUUUAUACGCAAGUAGUGGGAGGCUACAAAGCUAUAUGUAGGAGGCCCCCUUCGUUACAAUGUAAUUUUCCUGAAUGAUGCCUACGGGGGGUGGGGGGCAUCACGAUAUUAUUUUAAUUUAUAUAAUUAUAUUAUAUUAUAUUAUUCACUAUUUUAGAUAUGAAAUUAAGUCAAUAACCUUUUGAAGGCAGUGUGAUAAAUUAAACGCAUUAAUGGAUUUAAUAAUCUUUAUGGAAGAAUAUUUAAUUUUCCACAGUAUGUAAAUAGAAAUGUGAGUGACAAAAAUGAUAUCUGAUGUUACUUUACAGUUUAAAAUAACUAAAUAUUAUUAAUAUUAGAAUAAUCAAACCCAUCAUAAUGACUGAUUUUAAGUUAUAAGAAUUAUUAAGAUGCUUUUACUGCAAUAGAUGUUAAUUUCUGUUAAGAUAAAGUAUAAUUUUUAAUUUUUCGAGUAUAUUCUACUUUAAAAUUAGAUACAUGCUGCUUGUUAUAUUGUUAAUUAUUAAUGUGAAAGUAUUUUAAUAAGUGUUUGUUGAAUAAUAACGUGGUCGUAUUAUAAAACAAUGAUGUAGUAGAUAUUUAUACUUUUUCAAAGAUGAAGACAAUAUUUGUUAAUAUUUGACGGGUCCAUUUUUAAGAACAUGAAUUAUUCUGUGCACAUUUGUUAUUCGAGUUAAUUAUGUAUACCACAAUUUCAAAAAUGUUUGUAAAGAAAAGAAAAAUUGAAAUUUCAUACAUGAAACAAAAACAUGAAAUUAUUUGUCUGUUUAUGUCAGAAAUUCUGAAUUCUGACUUCAAUUUCACUUAUUUAUUAUAACACCCUAUUCUGAAAAUAGAUCAAUUUUUGC